CGUGAGGUGCCAGCGGCUACGCAGCUUGAGGAAAACCUGACAAGCGGCUUUGUGAGCCCGCUGGCACGCCAAAACGGAUCUCGAGAAUUGCCUGCGUGAGUUCACGGGAGAGGUGACGGCCAACAAAGAGCUCCAUCGAGAUGCGCGGCAACGCCUCGGCACGUACAGCGACCGCAUCGCACUACCCACAGCUGCCGAAACCACGGCCGUCACAAACAAAAUCUGAAGGUGGUGCACCAGGGCCCCGGUGCACUAAAGAGUUUGCAACAGGAAACGGUCGUGUCCCAGGUGGGCGUGGUGCUCCUCAGCGGGCGCGUGCGCACCUAUCAAUGUGCCUAGCAGCGCAUCUGUAAGGAGCUCGUUAACACCGAGGCAGAGGGUGUGACGGUGCGCGGCGACCAUCAAGCGGUUGUUCAGGGCGGCGACGGUGGCUUUCCGAGACGAUGCGGGUUGCGUGCUGGACGAGGUGCAGCGGCCAAGGGAGAGCCAGCAAACAGACGAGCUUGCGGAUGCUGUGCACAGCUUAUGGGACGCAUUGCAGAAGGACCGGAAUCGCGCUCGUCGGCUGGAGGAUGCCGUGCCCGCGAGGGAGGCGUCCCAAGCAGGUUUACUGGCGGCCUCCACUAGCGACAGGGCCCUUGAAAGCGCGUCGCGGCCGUCCGAUCACCUGGGCCGCUGCGUUGCUUGCAGUGCCUCCAGAUGAGCCCUCCGCAUGAGAGGUGGAAGAUCACUUGAAGGACCUCCACGAGCGACUCGAAGCCGCUAUUGCGGAGAAGGGGCUUGAGGUGCGCGACUUCAUUCAGAACAAGAUCAACGCCGGUGUAUUUUAGCUGGCCCGCUCUAUGCACGGCUCAGGUGUGUUGAUACGGCAGUGGCGGCGGACUGUGCUUCGGGGCGGCCGCCGCAUCGGGUCCCGGUGGGACUGGGGGACAACUAUGAUGGAGGCUGGCCAAAAUGUAUCGUGCGGUGUAGCGGGCACUGCCUGUAUGUUUUGGCUUCCUCUUGUUCACG